UACGGGGGGUCCUAGCGUUGUUCGGAAUCACUGGGCGUAAAGCGUUUGUAGGUGGCUUUGUAAGUUAAAUGUGAAAGCCCAGGGCCUAACCCUGGAAGUGCAUUUAAUACUGCAGAGCUUGAGUAUGAGAGAGGAAGGUGGAAUACCUGGUGUAGUGGUGAAAUACGUAGAUAUCAGGUGGAACAUCGGCGGCGAAAGCGGCCUUCUGGCUUAAUACUGACACUGAAAAACGAAAGCGUGGGGAUCAAAC
rnacentral:rRNA from 1 species